UACGGAGGGUGCAAGCGUUAAUCGGAAUUACUGGGCGUAAAGCGCACGCAGGCGGUUUGUUAAGUCAAAUGUGAAAUCCCCGGGCACAACCUGGGAACUGCAUCUGAUCCUGGCACGCUUGAGUCACGUAGAGGUGGGUAGAAUUCCAGGUGUAGCGGUGAAAUCCGUAGAGAUCUGGAGGAAUACCGGUAGCGAAGGCGGCCCCCUGGACGAAGACUGACGCUCAGGUGCGAAAGCGUGGGGAGCAAACAGG
rnacentral:rRNA from 1 species